UUUAUCUUUCAUCUCAAGAAGAAUUAUCUACCUACGAAAUAUACUGAUGGUAUCCCGUACCUGGAAGUAUAACUAUCUACCUACGAAAAAUAAUGUUGGUGUUUCCUUAGCUACUUGGACUGAGGUGAAACCAUGGAAGUGCUGGAUACAAGUCCGGAUAUGCUCAAAGAAUACUUAAAAAAAACAAUGGGUAAGAACUUGGCAAUGUAAGAAAAGUUAGUCUUUGUGUAAUGUUCAUUCCUAUCAUAGUACAAAUUGCAGCAUUAUUAGUCACUUGAUGUGUGUGAAUAGCAAAGAAAAGAAGGAAAACUCACUGAAUAACCAGAGAUGCCAGAAGGAUCAACAAAAGCAGAGGUGUGAAACACUCCACGACACCCAUCAAAGGCCUCCAUCAGCCCCUGGAUUUCAGUUUGCUUAGCUAUUACCACUGAUAUUUUAUUGCUACAAGCCAUCAUCAUCUCCCCUGAAACUUGCAUCUCCCUCAGCUUCUCUACAUCUUCUGCAGGUUUUUUGAAUCAAACCCAAAGAACCCACUUAAUAAAGAAGUCCACGGGAAAUAGACAACAACCUUAAAUCAGACAAGGGUUUUCGAACCUUGUCAGAUUCCAGGCUGUUCUGAACAAUAGAAUGGUUACCUUGGUUAUCCACAAGGAUUCGAACAGAGUAUCCACGGAGCAAAAGACAAUUAACUAAGGCAAGCCCAAGGAAAGAAACGCCACUGGUCACACAAACAAGCUUGUCUAGUUGAAGAUCAAGGUCGGCGAUAUGGGAACUCAUUAGGCCUUUGAAGUCGUCAUUUUCUUUGCUUCUUUCCGUGGCAGCCAAAGCAACUAAAGUCUUCCUGAAGUCUUCAAACUCCCUUCUUUCACUCUCUUCAUCUUGCGCCCUUGCAAUCCCCAUGAUUAAGUUUGAAGCUCUGGGUCAGUUUAAACUCUCGUAGCUAUAAUUGUCUGCAAAGGGAGCCUAAAACAGAGACGAUCUAAAGACAAUCAUGCAAAAGGCAUUCCUCCCAUAUUUGAAAGCUUAUUUAUUUAACAAAUUUCAAUGAGGUGGGCUGCGGAACAGUCCAACGGAGAUAAUUUAGAGACUCGGCUUGCUCGCUUGGCUUGAUUUUAAGAGGCUACAAAUAAAUAAACGUGUAAUGUUAGGAUUUUUCUUAUUUAUUUAUGUUUUUUCCAUACAAUUCUUUUUAUAUUAUAAAUGCGAAUGUUUUUAGUCA